GCCAUUAUAUAAAUACAAUUGAACUGAAUUGAAUCUUAUGCAAUUCUUUCUUCUUUUGCUUUAUCAGCUGCAGUGUUCUUCUAUUUGCAGGGAGAUGGUGCCAGCCUCGGGCCCUUCAUGAGGAGACUUUAUGCAGUCACAGAUGCCAGAGGACAUGACCGGAACAAUAAAUACGUCAGCAAGGAAUGCAGUAAGUAACUCUUCAUAUUGCUGUUAUCAACACUAUUUGUCACAUUUUCUCUUUCACAGUAUGUCCGUUCAAUAUACAAGUGUCAUCUACUCAUUGGCAUUAAAGCCAGAAACUGGACAUGGAGCUAAAAAUUAAGAAGUUGGAGAUAAACAAGUAUAAAUUCAAACACAGCAGAAGGUCAUGGUUGGGUCUUUAAUUCAUGUCUUUGUUUUUUGUCUUCACAGCUUGAACAAAAUGAGUGAAUUAAUAAACAACUUCCAACACAACUGUGGCACAUUUAAGCUUGACAGUUAGCCUGCAUUAUUACUUUCCCGAAAUUUGGAGGUGGUGUCUGAAAUUGGACACAAUGUGCAGUGUACACAAUACAGUGUGAUGUUGUCUUGAUCAGCAGACAAGGGACACUGUACAUUCAAUUAUAUGAAUUAAAACUCAUAAUGUGGCAGCUUGCAGUAGUUUA